GAUGAACGCUAGCUACAGGCUUAACACAUGCAAGUCGAGGGGAAACGACAUCGAAAGCUUGCUUUUGAUGGGCGUCGACCGGCGCACGGGUGAGUAACGCGUAUCCAACCUGCCCACCACUUGGGGAUAACCUUGCGAAAGUAAGACUAAUACCCAAUGAUAUCCCACGAAGGCAUCGGAAUGGGAUUAAAGAUUUAUCGGUGAUGGAUGGGGAUGCGUCUGAUUAGCUUGUUGGCGGGGUAACGGCCCACCAAGGCAACGAUCAGUAGGGGUUCUGAGAGGAAGGUCCCCCACAUUGGAACUGAGACACGGUCCAAACUCCUACGGGAGGCAGCAGUGAGGAAUAUUGGUCAAUGGGCGAGAGCCUGAACCAGCCAAGUAGCGUGCAGGAUGAUGGCCCUAUGGGUUGUAAACUGCUUUUAUAAGGGAAUAAAGUGGGUCACGUGUGACUUUUUGCAUGUACCUUAUGAAUAAGGACCGGCUAAUUCCGUG
rnacentral:rRNA from 1 species